rnacentral:rRNA from 1 species
UACGUAGGGUGCAAGCGUUUGUCCGGAAUUAUUGGGCGUAAAGAGCUCGUAGGCGGUCUGUCGCGUCGGAUGUGAAAAUCCAGGGCUCAACCCUGGACCUGCAUUCGAUACGGGCAGACUAGAGUUCGGCAGGGGAGACUGGAAUUCCUGGUGUAGCGGUGAAAUGCGUAGAUAUCGGGAGGAACACCAGUGGCGAAGGCGGCUUUCUGGUCUGCUCUUGACGCUGAGGCGCGAAAGCUAGGGUAGCAAACGGG